AUUGAACGCUGGCGGCAGGCCUAACACAUGCAAGUCGAACGGUAGCACAGAGAGCUUGCUCUCGGGUGACGAGUGACGGACGGGUGAGUAAUGUCUGGGAAACUGCCCGAUGGAGGGGGAUAACUACUGGAAACGGUAGCUAAUACCGCAUAACGUCGCAAGACCAAAGUGGGGGACCUUCGGGCCUCACACCAUCGGAUGUGCCCAGAUGGGAUUAGCUAGUAGGUGGGGUAAUGGCUCACCUAGGCGACGAUCCUAGCUGGUCUGAGAGGAGGACCAGCCACACUGGAAAUAAGACACGGUCCAGACUCCUACGGGAGGCAGCAGUGGGGAAUAUUGCACAAUGGGCGCAAGCCUGAUGCAGCCAUGCCGCGUGUAUGAAGAAGGCAUUCGGGUUGUAAGUACUUUCAGCGGGGAGGAAGGCGGUGAAGUCAAUAACUUCACCGAUUGACGUUACCCGCAGAAGAAGCACCGGCUAACUCCGUGCCAGCCGCCGCCGUAA
rnacentral:rRNA from 1 species